ensembl:lncRNA
CUUGUUUCUCCUUUAAAAAGGAGGCGGUCAUGUUUUUGGUAGCGGGGUUUAUAGGGAAGGGCAGAGGGCCAAAAGCACACCUGGAGCUGCAAGUCUGAAGAGGAGCACAGAGCGUCCCUGAAUACUUCCCCAGGCCUCCUCAGAAGGCCCUGGCAUAUCAUCCUACAGAUGUGGCACAAAACCCCUGGUUGCAAAAUAUAUCCGUCAUGGCAGUUGGUAGUGUUGUGCAAUCUCCAUCAACUUACGGAAACCACUGUGAGAUCCUAUUAAAGAGAAACUCCAGCCCCAUCCAUCACUCCAGCCACAGUCACGUGUCCGGCUGUCAGGCAGGAGGGCACAGGCAGGCUGUAGACACCAAGAGAGCUUUCCUUUGCAGUGGGUGCUCUAUUGCAGGAAUGGACAGGAUGGGAGAUCUGGAUCGGCACCAGCUCCCAGUGUGCACGCCAAGGGCUGUGGGGUCACCUUCAGCCACGGGCAGACCCGAGCUGGAGGAUGUGGAUCUCACCAACCCCAUCCAUCCCUGUCCUUGGGGUACCUUUCCUCCAGUCCCAGUGUCAGACCUCCCAGGGCAUUGGGAAGGGAUGUAGUGUUGGUAUGAGCAUCUGUUGCUGAUGGACCCCACUCAACCUGGCAGCUUUAUUGCGUGACACCUCUCCCUCUCUGCAGCCACAUUAAUCCCCAAGGGCUGCCCGGCCAAAAUUGCUGGUGCUCCAUUACUCUGCUGUCAGCAUCUGCUUCCCUCGUGAGAAUCAGGCUCCACAUCAGAAAAUAAUAAAGGCGAUAUUAUGAGCAGAGGGGAGAGGAGAUUAAAAAACCUGUUCAAAGAGCCUGCUGCUCCCUGUGCUGUUUAUUGCCCGUCGUGGUUUUGCGUUGUUUUUGUUGUCACUGAAGUUGGACUUUUAAUUUUCCCCUGAUCAUGAAGUGACUGGCUUGUAAUUUCCCUGUAGCUCUGAGGAUUCCAAAGUGUUGCUGUGGGUUUUCAUUUUUUUUUUCAUAGUACCUGUUGCUCCCCAAGAUCGACUGGCAAUGCUCUCACCGAAGUGCUAAUAAACCCUUUAUUCCCUCAGACCUUGGCACGCAAUGGGCUCAGCCCUGAGGUUAAGCCAAACUCCGUGGCAGGGAUGGGGCUGUUGGGGUCUGUGUGACCCAGCGCUGGGCUGGCUCUGCUCCCUUUGGGGUCUUGCUGUGAUAUGUGCCGUUAUCC